rnacentral:rRNA from 1 species
GACGUAGGGCGCGAGCGUUGUCCGGAUUUAUUGGGCGUAAAGAGCUCGUAGGCGGCUUGUCGCGUCGACUGUGAAAACUCGGGGCUCAACUCCGAGCUUGCAGUCGAUACGGGCAGGCUAGAGUUCGGUAGGGGAGACUGGAAUUCCUGGUGUAGCGGUGAAAUGCGCAGAUAUCAGGAGGAACACCGGUGGCGAAGGCGGGUCUCUGGGCCGAUACUGACGCUGAGAAGCGAAAGCAUGGGGAGCGAACAGG